GACGAACGCUGGCGGCGUGCUUAACACAUGCAAGUCGAGCGGAGCGGCGAACGGGUGAGUAACGCGGGAGUAACUGCCCCCCUCUCUGGGAUAACAGUUGGAAACGGCUGCUAAUACCGGAUAGUGGGGGAUGACUCGCGUCCUAUCAGCUUGUUGGUGGGGUAGUGGCCUACCAAGGUGACGACGGGUAGCCGGCCUGGGAGGGCGACCGGCCACAUUGGGCUGAGAUAGGGGCCAAAGUGCUACGGGAGGCAGCGGUGGGGAAUAUUGCAAAAUGGGGGAAACCCUGAUGCAGGAACGCCGCGUGCGAGAGGACGGCUUUCGGGUUGUAAACCGCUUUCUGCCAUGACGCGGUAGUGGAAGAAGAAGCACCGGCUAACUACGUGCCAGCAGCCGCGGUAAUAC
rnacentral:rRNA from 1 species